CAGUCGCCGCGGGAAUACGAAGGGUGCAAGCGUUACUCGGAAUUACUGGGCGUAAAGCGUGCGUAGGUGGUGGUUUAAGUCCGUUGUGAAAGCCCUGGGCUCAACCUGGGAAUUGCAGUGGAUACUGGAUCACUAGAGUGUGGUAGAGGAUAGUGGAAUUUCCGGUGUAGCAGUGAAAUGCGUAGAGAUCGGAAGGAACAUCUGUGGCGAAGGCGACUAUCUGGGCCAACACUGACACUGAGGCACGAAAGCGUGGGGAGCAAACAGGAUUAGAGACCCCCGUAGUCCCUGUCUCUUAUAC
rnacentral:rRNA from 1 species